CAGGUUUCGACCGUGUGGUCUCGACAGACCGCGUGACUCACGUGUUCUUCUGCUCCGUGCGGAAGCAGCCAUCUUGUGUGGCCUCGACAACGACUGCAUGCAGGCUCUUGCUCUUCUCUUCAGCUGAAGAUGAUAGUCAAAGUGCAAUACCGAAACCAAAAGAAGUACAUCAAAAUUCCAGAAGCU